UUUUCCCAUUUUAUUCAUGCAUAAACACAUGCAACAAUACAUUGCACAUUGUAGCCUAUGCGUUAACAAAAUGCCUGUUCUCUCUGGAUGCACAAUCACAAGAAAUUACAAAGGUAAAUAAAUAAUUACAAAUAACACAAAUUAAAACUCUGACAUAUAUCUUUUGUUUAAAUACAGAUUUAGCAAGAAACAGCUGGCACACAUCCUCAGUUUAUGUUUUAUGUGUGUUUAGGAAUAUGUUUGCACAAAUAUAUAAUGUACACAAGUAUGUUUAAAGCAAGCAUGUUUAAAAAAAUGUCAAUGGUGGUUAUAAUAGUGAUUAGAACAACAACUGUCCAACAACAAAAAAAUCUUAUAAUGUUGUGUUUGGCAAUCUGUUCCUUGCCCAUCAUCCCAUCACACUGAAGGAAACAAAACAUAUAAAUACAUAAUUAGGUAUUCAUUUUCAUUGAUUAAACGCAUGCAUCCAACAUCCAAUGAGCUAUGGAAUUGAGGUAAUUAAUUAAAUUAAAUACUUAUAAAUAUCCGCCUCUGUUUAACAACCCUUCCCAUCAACCAAACAUUUUGGUAACUGGAUUCCAAAAAAAUGGAUAAAGAUACUUUCCACUUGCUGUGUGAGUUCAAACAGUCUGGGACAUUACCUGAUGACUUGUCAAGAAACAAAAAAUAUGUGCUUUUGAGAAAGGCAAAGAAGUACACGAUAAAGGGUGAGUGUGACUGUGGCAUAUUUGGUGAUAGUAUUAUGUAGACCAUGGAUCAGUCUUCUGGUGUUUAGAUUCUGUAUCCUAAUAAACAAAAUUUACUGCCUAUAGACGAAGUUUUGUAUUAUAUAAGAAGACGGGGAGAGGGUGCAUUAGCCAAGGUGUUAUGCUCCAAAGAAGAGGCCAAACAGGUUUUCCAAGAAUUCCACUGCAGUCCAAUUGGUGCCCACUGUGGCAUUGUAAAAACAACAGAUGCUAUCAGUCAUCGAUUUUACUGGCCCUCCAUGACUGUGGAUAUUAAAAAUUGGGUAGGUAGAAAAUAACUUUUUCAUGUGUAUAUACACUAGUACUACUAAAUGACUCUGUUUAGGUCAGGCACUGUGCUGCCUGCCAGUCAAAGCAAGCUCAAAUUAAGAACCAAGCUGAUUAUACACCCAUUGAAGUAAGUUUCUGUGAAUGAGAUAGUUGUAUUAUUUUGUACUUCUGAUAGCAACCACAUUGAACAUGUAACGUUAUCCUCAGGUGGUAGAGCCAUGGGACAUUGUUGGGAUGGAUUUAGUGGGAAAGCUCACACCAACUGAGGAUGGUUAUCAAUACAUCUGUGUAAUGGUUGAUUACUUUACAAAGUGGUGUGAGGCUUUCCCACUGAAAACUAAAAGUGCAGAGGAGGUCACAGGCUGUAUUAUUAAGCUAUUUUACAAAUUUGGUGCCCCAAAAAGGUUGUUGACGGACCAAGGCUCAGAAUUUGUGAACAAGGUAAGGGUUAGACCUGAUGUGACUUUUAUUAGUUUCAAGAAUUAGAAAAAUAUAAUAAUUGUCUAUACCUAUGUAAAUAGAUCAAUAUGGGUGUCUGUCAAUUACUUGGGAUCAAAAGGAGUCUGUGUGCACCAUACCAUCCUCAAACAAAUGGACUGGUUGAAAAACUCAAUGGUUCAAUUCAGAGGUAUGAAAUUGACAUUUUGUAAUUACAGUAGAAUAAAAAUGUUGGCUAUUGCAUAGAUGGUUGAUGAACGAGAUGUCUCGUUUCUUGUCUCCCACAUUCACAGUUAGCAUGUGGUUUAAAAUGCCACGUAAAUACAGAUUGUUUUACUAUGACUCCUCUCCUAUUCAAAGGUCAUUGAGCAAAUUGGUGGGAAAGCAGCCACACAAGUGGGCAGAUUAUUUGGAGGCCACCAUGUUUGGCCUCCGUACAAAAAAGCAAAUUACAACUCAGUAUUCACCAUACUUUCUAAUGUUUGGCCGGGAAGCAAGGUAUCCAUGUGAAGUACCUGAGAAAUAUGAGGUUAGUAUGUUAUUUUUAACAUUUUAAAUUCUCUUGAACCCAACAAAGCGAAUUUAUGGCCACAAAAGGAAUUGUUGGGAAUUGGAAAUGUGGUACUUUACCACACAACUUCCAACAUGAUGACAAUUCAUGUGGGGUUUUUGUAUGUAAAGUAAGUGUUUUUAAUGGACAUUCACAAAUUAAGUGUUAAAGUAUGUAAGCUGUCAUGAGUCCAAUUUGUAGUUUGUAGUCCAAUUGCAGAAGCAAUUCUAACAGGCGGCACUUUGAUGUUCGGAAACACAGCAGCCAAUAUUGAUAUGUAUCGCAAAGAAAUGGGCCUGUGUCUGCUACAAGAGAGUGAUGACCUAUCAGACUUAUGCUUGAAAUGUGGGGACCAAUAUCCUUCUACACAAGAUUCAAAAGACUCUUGGAUUCAGUGCGACUGCUGUAAUGGAUGGUUUCACUGGGAAUGUGUAAACCGACCCAAUAUAAAGAAUGUUUUUGUUUGUCCUGGAUGCCAAGGCCCUGCUUAGUUUUGUAAUAGGAUUUCUAUGGACCAUUUGACCAGUAAGUAAUCACAUAAAUCUAAAUUAAAAAUAUCUCUUUAGCCAGAAUUUACAGAAUAGACCCUGUGUCAGUAUAACAGAAAAAGAACAACACUAAUAUAAAACUCAUCUAACACUAAAAUAACACUAAUAAUUACGUGCUGUUAGAAAUUCAUAAACUGCAGUUGACUCUGUCUGCCCAUCCACCUUAUC